AACAAAUUAAAGUAACCUAACUUUCCCUUAAAAAAAAUAAAAACCAAAUGAACUACUCUUACUAAGCCCAAAAAACAACAAAAAAAACUAAAGGCCAACUAAGCCCCAUCUUCGAUACCUCUAAUGCCCAGCUUAAUCAGACGAGUCUCUUUACCUCCCUCAAUCAAUCAAGAAAAUCAGAAACCCAAGACUUUCCAUAGUGAACUUUUCCACUGCCAGAACAAUUCUCGAACCUUCAACAUUUCUAUGUCAAAUCCAAGCUUCUAUCAUCCUUUUCCACUGCCGCUGUUGUUGAUUCAAAUGCUCGUCCUUCCAGGGCGUCGCCUUCGAUUACUACCUGUCAGUACCCGAACUUCAACCCUGCCUGAACUGCCUGCAAACAAGCCAUCGCCUCAGCCGCGAAUGAGGUUGGAGCGUGCAUGUUGACCACUGUCAUGGACCCCAGAACAACCCCUUCUGAAUCCUUACACACAAUAUCGGUACAUGAUAUGUUUGAUUGUUUCUCAAAGGCAGCAUCAAAAUUUAUUUUAACCUCAAACAAGUCUGGUGGUCGCCAUCAUUCCUCCUCAAUCCUCUGCCAAGCUGCCUUCUAUAUCCGCUCCUCACAGUAUACUCUCCUGUUGCCUUCCCACUCCGUACCCUACAACCCUCUCGUGAAUGUCUCGCCAAAGGAAUUUGCAAAAUAGCUUCUGCCCCAUCCCUUGUAAACAAAGAGCAUCCUGCCAGAUGGAUAUACGAUCACCUCUACCCAUUCUCCAAGCCAUUCCUUCCUGCAACAGUUUCUUCGUCGCCCAUACGCUGCUCCAGGAAUUAAAAGGCUCGUGAACUUGUGAAGAUUGGAAGACGAUUGAAGUAUUGUCAACAUUAUCAUCUUAUCUUGCCUUGGUAUAUAGAUACCUUUACUUUAUUUCAAUGGCAUGUAUAGAUAUUUGGUUAUUUUAUUAUGUAUUAUUAGUUAGCAAAUGUAAGAGCUUGAAUGAUAUACCUAUUCAUUUUCUAGAUGGCAAUAAGACAUGCCUCAUUUUGAUGUAGGUUGUAACUUACUAAUUGUACAUGUUGGUGUUUAAAUGUUUAUGAGAUUGUUAAA